rnacentral:tRNA from 1 species
GUGGCUUAGAGGAUAAAGCGUCUGCCUGCAAUGCAGGAGACCUGGGUUUGAACCCUGC